rnacentral:rRNA from 1 species
AGAUUGAACGCUGGCGGCAUGCCUAACACAUGCAAGUCGAACGGAGGUAGGGGCAACUCUACUUCAGUGGCGGACGGGUGAGGAAUGCGUCGGAAUCUACCCUAUGGUGGGGGAUAACACAGGGAAACUUGUGCUAAUACCGCAUAAUGUCGAGAGACCAAAGCAGGGGACCGCAAGGCCUUGCGCGAUAGGAUGAGCCGACGCCCGAUUAGCUAGUUGGUAGGGUAAAGGCCUACCAAGGCGACGAUCGGUAGCUGGUCUGAGAGGAUGAUCAGCCACACUGGGACUGAGACACGGCCCAGACUCCUACGGAGGCAGCAGUGGGGAAUAUUGGACAAUGGGCGCAAGCCUGAUCCAGCAAUGCCGCGUGUGUGAAGAAGGCCUGCGGGUUGUAAAGCACUUUUGUUCGGAAGAAAUCAUGCUGUUAAUACCUGGUAUGGAUGACGGUACGAAAGAAUAAGCACCGG